rnacentral:rRNA from 1 species
CCAGCAGCCGCGGUAAUACGGAGGAUGCAAGCGUUAUCCGGAAUGAUUGGGCGUAAAGCGUCCGCAGGUGGUUUAUCAAGUUUGCGGUUAAAGGUUCUGGCUCAACCAGAGACAGGCCGUGAAAACUGAUAGACUAGAGUAUGGUAGGGGCAGAGGGAAUUCCCAGUGUAGCGGUGAAAUGCGUAGAGAUUGGGAAGAACACCGGUGGCGAAAGCGCUCUGCUAGGCCAAAACUGACACUGAGGGACGAAAGCUAGGGGAGCGAAUGGGAUUAGAUACCCCAGUAGUCCUAGCCGUAAACGAUGGAUACUAGGUGUAGCUUGUAUCGACCCAAGCUGUGCCGUAGCUAACGCGUUAAGUAUCCCGCCUGGGGAGUACGCGCGCAAGCGUGAAACUCAAAGGAAUUGACGGGGGCCCGCACAAGCGGUGGAGUAUGUGGUUUAAUUCGAUGCAACGCGAAGAACCUUACCAGGACUUGACAUGUCGCGAAUCUUACUGAAAGGUAGGAGUGCCUUAGGGAGCGCGAACACAGGUGGUGCAUGGCUGUCGUCAGCUCGUGUCAUGAGAUGUUGGGUUAAGUCCCGCAACGAGCGCAACCCUCGUUUUUAGUUGCCAUCAUUAAGUUGGGCACUCUAGAGAGACUGCCGGUGACAAACCGGAGGAAGGUGGGGAUGACGUCAAGUCAGCAUGCCCCUUACGUUCUGGGCUACACACGCACUACAAUGCUACGGACAAAGGGCAGCAAGCAUGCGAAUGCAAGCCAAUCCCAUAAACCGUGGCUCAGUUCAGAUUGCAGGCUGCAACUCGCCUGCAUGAAGGCGGAAUCGCUAGUAAUCGCAGGUCAGCACUACUGCGGUGUAUACGUUCCCGGGCCUUGUACACACCGCCCGUCACACCAUGGAAGCUGGCUUAGCCCGAAGUCGUUACCCUAACCGUAAGGAGGGGGAUGCCGAAGGCAGGGCUGGUGACUGGGGUGAAGUCGUAACAAGGUAACCAA